rnacentral:sRNA from 1 species
UAAGAUGUCAGGGUCAAAAGGUCAAAAUCCGAUUGUGCUUGCACAAAGAGGAUUGAGACCUCUUGACCCGCAAAACACGAGCAAGUAGCGUUAUUACACGGAAUGCGAGUGUUUUAGGAUUGCGGGUUACAUCAUUUAUAAUCUUA